GCAACACACUCAAGUGGCCGUGGCACAGGUGCAGUUGUUGAAGGACCAGAUGGCAGCAGAGACGGCCGCUCGGAUGGAGGCUCAGGCCCGAGUUCACCAGUUACUGCUGCAGAACAGAGACCUGCUCCAGCACAUCACUGUCCUGGUGCAGCAUCUUAAAGAACUGGAGGCACAGUCACCAAAAACACCCACAGCACCAGGACAUACGUCUACUGAGCACGAUGGGCCAACGUCCAACUCGACAUCCAUCAAACCCUUGUCUCUGAACCUGAAGGAUCACUACAGCGAGUCCUUGGAUCAGCUCAUCUCCUCCAUGUCAUCCUGGCCCGUCUCUCCUGGUCCGAUGGACAGCGCCGAGUCCUACCUGAACCUGCUCAACCUCUGCAACAGCAAUAAACCCGAGGCUGCGCUCACCGGCGACCCUUUUAUUAAGACCAACGGCGCCGCAGACAAUAAAGAGACCAGUAAUGAGAUUGUACCGUACACGUCACGGAACUCCACCAGCACGGAUGAAAAGUGUCCAAUCCCCAAACUUGACCCCCCUCCGCCCUCCGUGAGUCGUAAGCGAGCCAGCAGGACC
ensembl:lncRNA